UACAGAGUUCCCAAGCGUUGUUCGGAUUCACUGGGCGUAAAGGGUGCGUAGGUGGUGAGGUAAGUCGGAUGUGAAAUCUCGGAGCUCAACUCCGAAAUGGCAUUGGAAACUGCCUUGCUAGAGGGUUGGAGGGGGGACUGGAAUUCUCGGUGUAGCAGUGAAAUGCGUAGAUAUCGAGAGGAACACCGGUGGCGAAGGCGAGUCCCUGGACAACUCCUGACACUGAGGCACGAAAGCUAGGGGAGCAAACAGG
rnacentral:rRNA from 1 species